rnacentral:rRNA from 1 species
CCUACGGGGCGCAGCAGUAGGGAAUUUUCGUCAAUGGGCGCAAGCCUGAACGAGCAAUGCCGCGUGAACGAGGAAGGUCUUCGGAUCGUAAAGUUCUGUUGAAGGGGAAAAAGAGCGGAGAGAGGAAAUGAACUCCGAUUGAUAUUACCCUUCGAGGAAGUCACGGCUAACUACGUGCCAGCAGCCGCGGUAAUACGUAGGUGGCGAGCGUUAUCCGGAAUGAUUGGGCGUAAAGGGUGCGCAGGCGGGCCUUUAAGCCGGCGGGGAAAUCGCGGGGCCC